UUUAAGGACUCAUUUUCAGGUCUCAUUUUCAUGAGAGAGAGAUUGGAAGUUUAAAAUAUUCCAUAGAAAUAGAAUCUUGCUGUAAUGGUGCAUAGGUCUAUCUAACUCUAACCUAUCAUAGGAUGAAUGGUAUAGGUCUAUCUAACUCUAACCUAUCACAGGAUGAAUGGUACAGGUCUAUCUAACUCUAACCUAUCACAGGAUGAAUGGUAUAGGUCUAUCUAACUCUAACCUAUCACAGGAUGAAUGGUUUAGGUCUAUCUAACUCUAACCUAUUACAGCAUGAAUGGUAUAGGUCUAUCUAACUCUAACCUAUCACAGGAUGAAUGGUAUAGGUCUAUCUAACUCUAACCUAUCACAGGAUGAAUGGUAUAGGUCUCACUCUGCUGGUAUUGAUGGGUGGUAUAGGUCUCACUCUGAUGGUAUAGGUCUCACUCUGCUGGUAUUGAUGGAUGGUAUAGGUCUCACUCUGCUGGUAUUGAUGGAUGGUAUAGGUCUCACUCUGCUGGUAUUGAUGGAUGGUAUAGGUCUCACACUCUGCUGGUAUAGGUCUCACUCUGCUGGUAUUGAUGGAUGGUAUAGGUCUCACUCUGCUGGUAUUGAUGGAUG
rnacentral:lncRNA from 1 species